rnacentral:misc_RNA from 1 species
GAAAUGCGAUAAGUAGUGUGAAUUGCAGAAUUAAGUGAAUCAUCGAAUCUUUGAACGCACAUUGCGCCCCUUGGUAUUCCAUGGGGCAUGCCUGUUCGAGCGUCAUUUGUACCCUCAAGCUCUGCUUGGUGUUGGGUGUUUGUCCCCGUCUCCGCGCGUGGACUCGCCCCAAAGUGAUUGGCAGCCGGCGUACUGGUCCCGGAGCGCAGCACAUGUCGCGCAAACGAGUGCCUUGGUACGGCGGCGUCCAUAAGCCCCUCUCUCACGCUCUUGACCUCGGAUCAGGUAGGGAUACCCGCUGAACUUAAGC